AUUGAACGCUGGCGGCAGGCCUAACACAUGCAAGUCGAGCGAGCGGCGGACGGGUGAGUAAUGUAUGGGGACUGCCCGAUAGAGGGGGGUAACUCCUGGAAACGGUAGCUAAUACCGCAUACUAUCGGAUGACCCAUAUGGGAUUAGAUAGUAGGGGGGGUAAUGGCUCACCUAAGCGACGAUCCCUAGCUGGUCUGAGAGGAUGAUCAGGCACACGGGGACGGAGACACGGCGCAGACUCCUACGGAGUCAGGAGUGGGGAAUAUUGCACAAUGGGAGCAAGCCUGAUGGAGCCAUGCCGCGUGUAUGAAGAAGGCCUUAGGGUUGUAAAGUAGUUUCAGUCGGGAGGCGUUACCGACAGAAGAAGCACCGGCUAACUCCGUGCCAGCAGCCGCGGUAAUUC
rnacentral:rRNA from 1 species